AUGUACAGCACAGCGGCCACGCACGUAGUCAAGGCGUUUCAUCAGACUUCAGACCCAGUUGUUGGGCAGCGAGAAGUUGUGGAACCUGAAGGAGGCGUCCCCGGCGGUGUCCCUCCCCUGGACCAUCCCGGGCUCGUCGUCCGCCUGCGGCGGCUGGUCGACCCACGAGAAGGAGUUCUGCCGCAGCAGCUCGGCGAACGCCGGGGACGGCUGCGGCGUCGGGCACGGCGCCCCCUGCGGCCGGUUCGGCGCGUCGGUGCCCAAGUCCCACAUGAGGACGUGGAGCAGGAUGGGGCGCAGGGCGUGCCGGUGCAGGGACAGCUUCUGGCUCAGCGACACGGUGUCGAAGCACCGGAUGGCCCCGGAGGUGGACACCAUCCACGGCAGCACCUUGCGGCACGACACCCGGGAGAUGACCAGCAGCUUGGACGCGCGCUUCGCCUCCCGGUAGAGGUCGCGCAGCCCCGACCGCGUCGACGGCGCCGGCCGGCUGCCGUCGUCCUCCAUGACCGACGAGAUGUAGAGGAAACCCUGCACCCCAUUCCCAUUUCCAAGAGCGGAUCAGUUCAAACGUGCACUAGAGCUAGAACUGGAGAAGUACGGGGACAGACAUUCCUCCGGCAUUGGUACCUCUUCGGUGCGGCUGAUGGCGAAGCCGAGUUUGGUGUCGCCCUCCUCGAGGGUGAUCUCCACGGGCAUUUCUCCGGCGGCCGCGGUGAACCAGAGGCGCACCGCCUUCACCACGCCGAUGUCCACGCCGUGGUAGUCCUCGAACCCGUACAGGCUCGCGUUGGCGAGGUUCGGGAGGUCGGCCAGCGACCCGGAGUUGACCGUCGCCGAGGCCAUGUCGCCGGAGAUCUGCACCAUGCAUGCAAUGCAAGAACGUCAGAGAAACACCAAAACAUCCCCCACACAAUCAUUCUGAUGGCAAAAUAUAGUAUAAGGAACCUUGGUGAGGAGGGCCUCGGUCUGGACGUUGAGGAAGGCGAUGGGCACGCCGGCGGCCUGCGAGGCGAGGAACCAGGCGUUGGCGCGGGCCAGCGUGUCGUCGACGGAGUUGUAGCGGGAGUUGGCGCGGUCGAGCGCGGUGGGGAGGACGAGCAGGGAGAGGAAGCUGCUGGCGCUGGGCACCGGCAGCACCUCCUUCAUCUUCUUCUCCCACGGGUAGGACACGUAGCCGUCCUGCAGUUGCGCCUUGCUCAGCGCGCACACCACCCGAGAGCUCCUCGACCCUGCAUGCAUGCAUGCACACCACCGCCAUCGUGA
rnacentral:rRNA from 1 species